rnacentral:sRNA from 1 species
GCUGGGUAUGGUGGUGCACACCUGUAAUCCCAGCAACUCAGGAGGCUGAGACAGGAGGACCACCAGUUCAAAGACAGACUCAGCAAUGGUGAGGCGCUAAGCAACUCAGUGAGAACCUGUUUCUA